rnacentral:tRNA from 3 species
GGGCGGACUGGCCGAGGGUGAGGGCGUUGCUGCUGAUCAGGGCGAGGGCGUCGUUGUUGUCGAGCGGCUGCGGUUCGGGGGCGGCGCCCGCCCCC